GCCGGAGUGGCGGAACUGGCAGACGCAAGGGACUUAAAAUCCCUCGAUGAUUACUCAUCGUACCGGUUCGAUUCCGGUCUCCGGCA
rnacentral:tRNA from 1 species